CGGGCCAGUGAAGCCGGCGCCUCCGACACGUGAUCUGGAACCGGCUGUGCCGCUUGGUGACUCGGUCUGUCGGUCCGUCCGUCCUCGGGUGCCACGAUGGCGGACGUGGCCAGUCAGGUAUUCCUGGGCUCCGGUCUCACCAUCCUGUCCCAGCCGCUCAUGUACGUGAAAGUGCUCAUGCAGGUGGGGUAUGAGCCUCUUCCCCCAACAACAGGACGAAAUAUCUUUGGGCGACAAGUGUGUCAGCUUCCUGGUCUCUUCUGCUAUGCUCAGUACAUUGCAAGCAUCGAUGGGAGGCGUGGGUUGUUCACAGGCUUAAUGCCAAGACUGUGUUCAGGAGUCCUUGGAACUGUGGUCCAUGGUAAAGUCUUACAGCAUUACCAGGAGUGCGUGAAACCUGAGGAAUUAGUAUCUGGAAAUGUACAAAAGGAAGGCUCAUCCUCCUUUGAUCGAGUUAUCAAAGAGACAACUCGAGAGAUGAUUGCUCGUUCUGCUGCUACCCUCAUUACACAUCCCUUCCACGUGAUCACUCUGAGAUCUAUGGUACAGUUCGUUGGCAGAGAGUCCAAGUACUGCGGGCUGUAUGACUCCAUAUUCACCAUCUACCGGGAAGAAGGCAUCGUAGGAUUUUUUGCGGGUCUAAUUCCUCGCCUCCUAGGUGACAUCAUUUCCUUGUGGCUCUGUAACUCACUGGCUUAUCUCAUUAUUACCUAUGCACUGGACAGUGAGGUCUCUACCAAGAAUGAAUUGAAAAGUUAUUCCCAAGCUGUCACAGGAUUCUUUGCCAGUAUGUUGACCUACCCCUUUGUGCUUGUAUCUAAUCUUAUGGCUGUCAACAAUUGUGGGCUUGCUGGUGGAUCUCCUCCUUACUCCCCAAUAUAUACUUCUUGGAUAGAUUGCUGGUGCAUGCUACGAAAAGCGUUUACAGAUGGUUCUGCGUGACCUGCACUUUUUCGAGGAUUGCAGAGAAGAGUAUGAAGAAGCUCUUUGCUGCACUACUUCAGAACCCAGGGGAAAUAUGAGCCGAGGAAACAGUUUGUUUUUCCGGAAGGUCCCCUUUGGGAAGACUUACUGUUCUGACCUAAGGAUGUUAAUUUGAAUUAUGGGAGAGAAUUUUUAUUUCUAUACAAUGUGGCAUGCUUUUUUAAUAAUCAUUUAAUCUUGGGAAAAUGGA